UGUUAUAAUCAUUGCGUCAUCCAGUUGCCAAACUGAUCAAUUGCAUCCUAAUGGAACGUUCAAGAUGUGAUUCAGUAAUUGAUACGGUAGUUGCAAUCAUUAGUUUUGACCAAUUUCUCGAUUGAUCAAAGCACCACAGGCUGCAUCGUUCGUCACCUCUGCCUUUAAGCGCGUUAUCACUUACUCCAAUAAGUAUUUGUUUUAUUAUCUUUCACACUUGUUUUCUUGGUUCUUAUUUUGUAUGGAAGUAAAUUUUAUUAUCAUGGC